rnacentral:rRNA from 1 species
CUAGGAAUCUUGGGAAUGGGCGAAAGCCUGACCCAGCAACGCCGCGUGGGCGAUGAAGGCCUUCGGGUCGUAAAGCCCUUUUGCAGGGGACGAUAAUGACGGUACCCUGCGAAUAAGCCACGGCUAACUACGUGCCAGCAGCCGCGGUAAUACGUAGGUGGCAAGCGUUGUCCGGAUUUACUGGGCGUAAAGGGCGUGCAGGCGGUUUGUUAAGUGCAGGGUGAAAGCUCCCGGCUCAACUGGGAGAGGUCCUUGCAUACUGGCGAACUUGAGGGAUGCAGAGGAAAGUGGAAUUCCCGGUGUAGUGGUGAUAUGCGUAGAUAUCGGGAGGAACACCAGUGGCGAAGGCGGCUUUCUGGGCAUUUCCUGACGCUGAGACGCGAAAGCGUGGGGAGCGAACCAG